rnacentral:tRNA from 1 species
UAGUUCAGCUGGUUAGAAUACAUGCCUGUCACGCAUGGGGUCGCGGGUUCGAGUCC